UUUUUAGGGUUUUAUUUCUGCUCAGGACGAACGCGGGCGGCGUGCCUAAUACAUGCAAGUCGAGCGAACUUCUUUAGAGCUUGCUUUAAAGAAGUUAGCGGCGGACGGGUGAGUAACACGUGGGCAACCUGCCUGUAAGACUGGGAUAACUUCGGGAAACCGGAGUUAAUACCGGAUAAUAUAUAGUCCCUCCUGGUACUAUAUUGAAAGUUGCUUUCGGCUAUCACUUACAGAUGGGCCCGCGGCGCAUUAGCUAGUUGGUGAGGUAACGGCUCACCAAGGCAACGAUGCGUAGCCGACCUGAGAGGGUGAUCGGCCACACUGGGACUGAGACACGGCCCAGACUCCUACGGGAGGCAGCAGUAGGGAAUCUUCCACAAUGGACGAAAGUCUGAUGGAGCAACGCCGCGUGAGCGAUGAAGGCCUUCGGGUCGUAAAGCUCUGUUGUUAGGGAAGAACAAGUGCGAGAGUAACUGCUCGCACCUUGACGGUACCUAACCAGAAAGCCACGGCUAACUACGUGCCAGCAGCCGCGGUAAUACGUAGGUGGCAAGCGUUGUCCGGAAUUAUUGGGCGUAAAGCGCGCGCAGGCGGUUUCUUAAGUCUGAUGUGAAAGCCCACGGCUCAACCGUGGAGGGUCAUUGGAAACUGGGAGACUUGAGUGCAGAAGAGGAGAGUGGAAUUCCACGUGUAGCGGUGAAAUGCGUAGAGAUGUGGAGGAACACCAGUGGCGAAGGCGACUCUCUGGUCUGUAACUGACGCUGAGGCGCGAAAGCGUGGGGAGCAAACAGGAUUAGAUACCCUGGUAGUCCACGCCGUAAACGAUGAGUGCUAAGUGUUAGAGGGUUUCCGCCCUUUAGUGCUGCAGCUAACGCAUUAAGC
rnacentral:rRNA from 1 species